AACGCACAUUGCGCCCUUUGGUAUUCCGAAGGGCAUGCCUGUUCGAGCGUCAUUAUCAACCCUCAAGCCUGGCUUGGUGUUGGACGUCAGGCGACGCAAGUCGCCCACUCCGAAAGUCAAUGACGGUGUCGAUGGACCCUCAGUACAAUGAGCUUUUCAAGCACGUACUGUCAGGAGCCAUGGACCACCGGUCUUUUCCUUUAUUUUUCUAAGGUUGACCUCGGAUCAGGUAGGAAUACCCGCUGAACUUAA
rnacentral:misc_RNA from 1 species